rnacentral:rRNA from 1 species
GGUUCGGAUUCCGAGAGGGAGCCUGAGAAACGGCUACACCUCCAAGGAAGGCAGCAGGCGCGCAAAUUACCCAAUCCCGACUCGGGAGGAGUACAAUAAAUAACAUACACGGCUCUUGGGUCUUGUAAUUGGAAUGAGUACAAUCUAAUCCCUAAUGAGAUGC